CUUGAGAGGGUAAGGCUCCCAGUAGACGACUGGGUUGAUAGGCCAGAUAUGGAAGCCCGGUAACGGGUGGAGUUGACUGGUACUAAUAGGCCGAGGGCUUGUCCUCAGUUG
rnacentral:rRNA from 1 species